rnacentral:misc_RNA from 1 species
AACGCACCUUGCACCCUUUGGUAUUCCGAAGGGUACACCCGUUUGAGUGUCAUUGUAAUCUCACUACAACCGCUUUUUUGUGGUUGCAUGUGGACUUGGAUGUUGCCGUGUCUCAAACGGCUCGUCUGAAAUGCCUGAGUGUACCCCUGCUUUGUGGCGUAUUCGGUGUGAUAAAUCUUCACCGGAGUUGACCCUCAGGGUCACGUCUGCUUGACAUGGCUCUAUGCUUCCAACCGUCCUGACAAGACAAUCUUUGACAAUUUGACCUCAAAUCGGGUGGGACUACCCGCUGAACUUAA